UAUGGAGACAAAGAAGACUCCACUAAAACCUAUAAAAUGGAUACAAAGGGAAAGCCUUAUUAAAUUCAGUAAAUGCAAAAGAAUGAAGAUGGUCCCUCAUCAUUGCAAAUAUGGUUACAUGAUGCUCAGUGGAUUAGGAAGAUCAACUUAAACAGGCAUGACAGAGCUGAUCCUUGUAGGUUCAAUGCCAAUCACCACUAGACAGAAUGAGUGCAUCUAUCAGGAGAUUGAAGAUCAGGAGCUGAGAACUGCAGUAACGUCCACACUCACCACUGUCUACACCACAGUGGGGUCUUCACACACUGUAAUCUACUCCAGUGUAGAUGAACCGUCUGACUCCAUCACAUACUGCACUGUAAAUGUGUCUUAGCAAAGCACAACCCACGCACUAAACUCCAAUGAAGCUGAGGACUCUGUGAUUUACUCCAAAAUGACCUUCUAAGUGUAACCAAAAAACCCAGUCUGUCCACAGUCAUCAACAGAGCAACACAUAAGACUGAACAAUGGCUCAUUUAAUCAUCCAUUUAAAGGUUGCAAACAGUUGACAACUCAGAAAAACUCUUCCCUUAAAAACUGCAUAGCUAUCAUAACAGUCUAUGCACAGCUGAUCUGGGGAGGUGCAAGCCACAGAGUAAUUGUGAGCAGAAGACACUCAGAGUA